rnacentral:rRNA from 1 species
UACAGAGGUCUCAAGCGUUGUUCGGAUUCAUUGGGCGUAAAGGGUGCGUAGGCGGCGCGGUAAGGCGGGUGUGAAAUCUUGGAGCUUAACUCCGAAACUGCAUUCGAUACUGCCGUGCUUGAGGACUGGAGAGGAGACUGGAAUUUACGGUGUAGCGGUGAAAUGCGUAGAUAUCGUAAGGAAGACCAGUGGCGAAGGCGGGUCUCUGGACAGUUCCUGACGCUGAGGCACGAAGGCCAGGGGAGCAAGCGGG